ACGCUGGCGGCGUGCUUACACAUGCAAGUCGAACGAACCUUCGGGUUAGUGGCGGACGGGUGAGUAACGCGUGGGAAUCUGCCCUCAGGAGGGGGAUAACGGUUGGAAACGGCCGCUAAUACCCCAUAUGCCGAGAGGUGAAAUGAAUUUCGCCUGAGGAUGAGCCCGCGUCUGAUUAGCUAGUUGGUGAGGUAAGAGCUCACCAAGGCAUCGAUCAGUAGCUGGUCUGAGAGGAUGAUCAGCCACACUGGGACUGAGACACGGCCCAGACUCCUACGGGAGGCAGCAGUGGGGAAUUUUCCGCAAUGGGCGAAAGCCUGACGGAGCAACGCCGCGUGAGGGAUGAAGGCCUCUGGGCUGUAAACCUCUUUUAUCAAGGAAGAAGAUCUGACGGUACUUGAUGAAUAAGCCACGG
rnacentral:rRNA from 1 species